UGGGGGAUAUUGCACAAUGGGCGAAAGCCUGAUGCAGCGACGCCGCGUGGGGGAUGAAGGCUUUCGGGUUGUAAACCUCUUUCGCUAUCGAACAAGGCCCGCUUAGGGUGGGUUGAGGGUAGGUGGAGAAGAAGCGCCGGCUAACUACGUGCCAGCAGCCGCGGUAAUACGUAGGGCGCGAGCGUUGUCCGGAAUUAUUGGGCGUAAAGGGCUUGUAGGCGGCUUGUUGCGCCUGCGUUGAAAACGCGGGGCUUAACUUCGCGCGUGCAGUGGGUACGGGCAGGCUUGAGUGUGGUAGGGGUGACUGGAAUUCCAGGUGUAGCGGUGGAAUGCGCAGAUAUCUGGAGGAACACCGAUGGCGAAGGCAGGUCACUGGGCCAUUACUGACGCUGAGGAGCGAAAGCAUGGGUAGCGAACAGG
rnacentral:rRNA from 1 species